ACAGGAGAGAGCUUGCUCUCUUGCUGACGAGUGGCGGACGGGUGAGUAAUGCUUGGGAAUCUGCCUAUAGAUGGGGGAUAACCAUUGGAAACGAUGGCUAAUACCGCGUAAUAUCGAGAGAUUAUAGAGUGCUUUUAGUACUUGUCUAUAGAUGAGCCCAAGUGAGAUUAGCUAGUUGGUGAGGUAAUGGCUCACCAAGGCGACGAUCUCUAGCUGGUUUGAGAGAAUGACCAGCCACACUGGAACUGAGACACGGUCCAGACUUCUACGGAAGGCAGCAGUGGGGAAUAUUGGACAAUGGGGGCAACCCUGAUCCAGCCAUGCCGCGUGUAUGAAGAAGGCCUUAGGGUUGUAAAGUACUUUCGGUAAUGAGGAAGGUAAUUAUUGAAGGAUAGUUGCUUGACGUUAGUUACAGAAGAAGCACCGGCUAACUCCGUGCCAGCAGCCGCGGUAAUACGGAGGGUGCGAGCGUUAAUCGGAAUUACUGGGCGUAAAGGGCACGCAGGCGGAUUGGCAAGUUAGAUGUGAAAGCCCCGAGCUUAACUUGGGAAUUGCAUUUAAAACUACUAAUCUAGAGUUGUUUAGGGAGGGGUAGAAUUUCUCGUGUAACAGUGAAAUGUGUAGAGAUGAGAAGGAAUACCGAAGGCGAAGGCAGCCCCUUGGGAACAAACUGACGCUCAUGUGCGAAAGCGUGGGGAGCAAACAGGAUUAGAUACCCUGGUAGUCCACGCCGUAAACGAUCUCGAUUUGGAG
rnacentral:rRNA from 1 species